AGGACGAACGCUAGCGGCGUGUCUGAAACAUGCAAGUCGAACGGGGUUCAGCAAUGAGUUCAGUGGCGAACGGGUGCGUAACACGUAAAGAACCUGCCCUUCAGCGGGGGAUAGCCCUGGGAAACCGGGGGUAAUACCGCAUGAGACCUUAACUUCGCAUGAAGAAAAGGAGAAAGGGAUCAGACGAUAGUUUGAUUUCACUGGAGGAGGGCUUUGCGGCCUAUCAGGUAGUUGGGAGGGUAACGGCCUACCAAGCCUAAGACGGGUAGCUGGUCUGAGAGGAUGGUCAGCCACACUGGGACUGAGAUACGGCCCAGACUCCUACGGGGGGCAGCAGUUUAGAAUAUUGUGCAAUGGGCGAAAGCCUGACACAGCGACGCCGCGUGGGUGACGAAGGCCUUAGGGUCGUAAAGCCCUGUUGGUAGGGAUGAGAAGGGACAGUACCUACCGAGGAAGCCCCGGCUAACUACGCGCCAGCAGCCGC
rnacentral:rRNA from 1 species